rnacentral:rRNA from 1 species
UACGAAGGGUGCAAGCGUUAAUCGGAAUUACUGGGCGUAAAGCGUGCGUAGGCGGUCUUUUAAGUCCGAUGUGAAAGCCCUGGGCUCAACCUGGGAAUGGCACUGGAUACUGGAAGGCUAGAGUACGGUAGAGGAGGGUGGAAUUCCAGGUGUAGCGGUGAAAUGCGUAGAUAUCUGGAGGAACACCGGUGGCGAAGGCGGCAUCCUGGACCGAAACUGACACUGAGGCGCGAAAGCUAGGGGAGCAAACGGG